rnacentral:rRNA from 1 species
CUAUGCGCCUUGCCAGCCGCUCAGGUGUGCCAGCGCCGCGGUAAUACAGAGGUCUCAAGCGUUGUUCGGAAUCACUGGGCGUAAAGCGUGCGUAGGCGGUUUCGUAAGUCGUGUGUGAAAGGCGGGGGCUCAACCCCCGGACUGCACAUGAUACUGCGAGACUAGAGUAAUGGAGGGGGAACCGGAAUUCUCGGUGUAGCAGUGAAAUGCGUAGAUAUCGAGAGGAACACUCGUGGCGAAGGCGGGUUCCUGGACAUUAACUGACGCUGAGGCACGAAGGCCAGGGGAGCGAAAGGG